AUGCAAGUCGAGCGCCCCGCAAGGGGAGCGGCAGACGGGUGAGUAACACGUGGGAACGUACCCUUUUCUACGGAAUAACCCAGGGAAACUUGGACUAAUACCGUAUGUGCCCUUCGGGGGAAAGAUUUAUCGGAAAAGGAUCGGCCCGCGUUGGAUUAGCUAGUUGGUGGGGUAAAGGCCUACCAAGGCGACGAUCCAUAGCUGGUCUGAGAGGAUGAUCAGCCACAUUGGGACUGAGACACGGCCCAAACUCCUACGGGAGGCAGCAGUGGGGAAUAUUGGACAAUGGGCGCAAGCCUGAUCCAGCCAUGCCGCGUGAGUGAUGAAGGCCUUAGGGUUGUAAAGCUCUUUCACCGGAGAAGAUAAUGACGGUAUCCGGAGAAGAAGC
rnacentral:rRNA from 1 species